rnacentral:rRNA from 1 species
GAUGAACGCUGGCGGCGUGCCUAAUACAUGCGAGUCGAGCGAACAGACGAGGAGCUUGCGCCUCUGACGUUAGCGGCGGACGUGUGAGUAACACGUGUAUCACCUACUUAUAUGUCUGGGAUAAUUUCGGAAAACCGGAUCUUAUACCGUAUAAUAUAUUGCACCGCAUGGUUCAAUAGAGAAUGACGGCUUUGCUGUCUCUUAUAGAUGCUUCCGCGCCGCAUUAGCUAGUUGGUAAGGUAACGGCUUAUCAAGGCGACGAUGCGUAGCCGACCUGAGAGGGUGGUAGGCCACACUGGAACUGAGACACGGUCCAGACUCCUGCGGGAGGCAGCAGUAGGGAAUGUUACGCAAUGGGCGAAAGCCUGACGGAGCAAGGCCGCGUGAGUGAUGAAGGUCUUCGGAUCGUAAAGCUCUGUUAUUAGGGAAGAACAAAUGUGUAAGUAAAUAUGCCCGUCUUGACGGUACCUAAUAAAGAAGCAACGGCUAACUACGUG